AUACGGAGGGUGCAAGCGUUACUCGGAAUCACUGGGCGUAAAGCGCGCGCAGGCGGCUUGAUAAGUUGGAUGUGAAAGCCUACGGCUCAACCGUAGAACUGCAUCCAAAACUGUCAGGCUAGAGUGUGGGAGAGGAAGAUGGAAUUAGUUGUGUAGGGGUAAAAUCCGUAGAGAUAACUAGGAAUACCAAAAGCGAAGGCAAUCUUCCGGAACACUACUGACGCUGAGGCGCGAAGGCGUGGGGAGCAAACAGGAUUAGAAACCCGGGUAGUCC
rnacentral:rRNA from 1 species